AUACUUACCUGGCAGGGAAGUUUCGAUGAUCAGGAAGAUCGAACUUCCAGGGUGAGGCUGAUUCAUUGCACUCCGAAGCAGCUGACCUCUGGGGCCGUCCCGAACUGGGACGUGCUCACUGCAUAGUUUUUGGGUGUGAGGGUCGGCGUUCGCGCCACCCUCG
rfam:Trichinella britovi scaffold91s, whole genome shotgun sequence.